AUGAAUCCAUUGAUUCGUUCGUCGGCUCCUCUUCUGCUACUUUCUAGUUUCUACACACAAGCAACAGCCACCGUGCCGGAGGGCGUUGCCUUGGGCUGGUGGGUGUUGUUCAUUGGCCGUCUCCAUUGUCGACGGGUGGAGCCCGACACGGAGGGGUUGUGUGCCAUGGUGACGGGGUCAUGCUCCGCCGGAGGGAGGAGCGCUGCAACGGCCGCGCCUUUGUAUUGUGGCUGCAGUUGCGGAUAUUCCGUGGGAAGCCGCAUCGAGAGGAGAAGGUAGAGGACCGAGGCUGUGCGCCGAAGGAGCCGUCUCCAUCGCGCGUGUAGGCGCGUCCGUGUCGAGCGCGCAGUUCCGCGUCGAUGUAAUUUAGAGGUUGUGAGCAUUCCCAAUUCCAUGAACAGCGUCAUGGCGGCUGAUGUUUCUUUUAUUUCGGUUUCCUUUUACCUGGUGAUUAAAUCGGUCUCGCUCGAGCCAGAGGACUGGAGCCGCGGGCGCUGCCGAUUCACGAUCCGGUCAAACAACAAGGCCACAUCGUUGCCGCAUCGGUAGGGGCGAUCGCUUGUCUGCCAUUAACCGCUGCCAUCUGAUUCCGCUCAUGAAGUAGCACGCAUGGGGGCGAGGUCCUCGGUUGUCUCCUUCAGACGUCGCGUAUCGAUUGCUCGAUUGGAGAGCAGCAAGUGCUGAUAACGUGUUAGAAUGAAACGAGAUUGAAUGAAAAUGAAUGGACAAUUCGUCCUGUUUCUAUUGA